rnacentral:rRNA from 1 species
AUUGAACGCUGGCGGCAUGCCUUACACAUGCAAGUCGAACGGCAGCACGGGAGCAAUCCUGGUGGCGAGUGGCGAACGGGUGAGUAAUAUAUCGGAACGUGCCCAGUCGUGGGGGAUAACGUAGCGAAAGCUACGCUAAUACCGCAUACGAUCUAUGGAUGAAAGCGGGGGAACGCAAGACCUCGCGCGAUUGGAGCGGCCGAUAUCAGAUGAGGUAGUUGGUGAGGUAAAGGCUCACCAAGCCGACGAUCUGUAGCUGGUCUGAGAGGACGACCAGCCACACUGGGACUGAGACACGGCCCAGACUCCUACGGGAGGCAGCAGUGGGGAAUUUUGGACAAUGGGCGCAAGCCUGAUCCAGCAAUGCCGCGUGCAGGAUGAAGGCCUUCGGGUUGUAAACUGCUUUUGUACGGAGCGAAAAGGCUUCCACUAAUACUGGGGGCUCAUGACGGUACCGUAAGAAUAAGCACCGGCUAACUACGUGCCAGCCGCCGCCGUAAAAC